rnacentral:rRNA from 1 species
CCUACGGGAGGCAGCAGUGAGGAAUAUUGGUCAAUGGACGAGAGUCUGAACCAGCCAAGUAGCGUGAAGGAUGACUGCCCUAUGGGUUGUAAACUUCUUUUAUAUGGGAAUAAAACGUUCCACGUGUGGGAUUUUGUAUGUACCAUAUGAAUAAGGAUCGGCUAACUCCGUGCCAGCAGCCGCGGUAAUACGGAGGAUCCGAGCGUUAUCCGGAUUUAUUGGGUUUAAAGGGAGCGUAGGUGGAUUGUUAAGUCAGUUGUGAAAGUUUGCGGCUCAACCGUAAAAUUGCAGUUGAAACUGGCAGUCUUGAGUACAGUAGAGGUGGGCGGAAUUCGUGGUGUAGCGGUGAAAUGCUUAGAUAUCACGAAGAACUCCGAUUGCGAAGGCAGUUCACUGGACUGCAACUGACACUGAGGCUCGAAAGUGUGGGUAUCAAACAGGAUUAGAUACCCCGGUGUC